GACGAACGCUGGCGGCGUGCUUAACACAUGCGAGUCGAGCGGUAAGGCCCUUCGGGGUCCACGAGCGGCGAACGGGUGAGUAACACGUGAGUAAUCUGCCCAUCACUUCGGGAUAACUCCGGGAAACCGGUGCUAAUACCGAAUAUGACCACUUCAGGCAUCUGAUGGUGGUGGAAAGUUCCGGCGGUGAUGGAUGAGCUCGCGGCCUAUCAGCUUGUUGGUGGGGUAGUGGCCUACCAAGGCUUCGACGGGUAGCCGGCCUGAGAGGGUGACCAGCCACACUGGGACUGAGACACGGCCCAGACUCCUACGGGAGGCAGCAGUGGGGAAUAUUGGACAAUGGGCGAAAGCCUGAUCCAGCAACGCCGCGUGAGGGAUGACGGCCUUCGGGUUGUAAACCUCUUUCAGCAGGGACGAAGCGCAAGUGACGGUACCUGCAGAAGAAGCACCGGCCAACUACGUG
rnacentral:rRNA from 1 species